rnacentral:rRNA from 1 species
GAUGAACGCUGGCGGCGUGCUUAACACAUGCAAGUCGAACGAAGCACUUUAUUUGAUUUCCUUCGGGACUGAUUAUUUUGUGACUGAGUGGCGGACGGGUGAGUAACGCGUGGGUAACCUGCCUUGUACAGGGGGAUAACAGUUGGAAACGGCUGCUAAUACCGCAUAAGCGCACAGCAUCGCAUGAUGCAGUGUGAAAAACUCCGGUGGUAUAAGAUGGACCCGCGUUGGAUUAGCUAGUUGGUGGGGUAACGGCCCACCAAGGCGACGAUCCAUAGCCGACCUGAGAGGGUGACCGGCCACAUUGGGACUGAGACACGGCCCAAACUCCUACGGGAGGCAGCAGUGGGGAAUAUUGCACAAUGGGCGAAAGCCUGAUGCAGCGACGCCGCGUGAGCGAAGAAGUAUUUCGGUAUGUAAAGCUCUAUCAGCAGGGAAGAUAAUGACGGUACCUGACUAAGAAGCACCGGCUAAAUACGUG